CAUUACCGAGUUUACAACUCCCAAACCCAAUGUGAACCAUACCAAACUGUUGCCUCGGCGGGGUCACGCCCCGGGUGCGUCGCAGCCCCGGAACCAGGCGCCCGCCGGAGGGACCAACCAAACUCUUUUCUGUAGUCCCCUCGCGGACGUUAUUUCUUACAGCUCUGAGCAAAAAUUCAAAAUGAAUCAAAACUUUCAACAACGGAUCUCUUGGUUCUGGCAUCGAUGAAGAACGCAGCGAAAUGCGAUAAGUAAUGUGAAUUGCAGAAUUCAGUGAAUCAUCGAAUCUUUGAACGCACAUUGCGCCCGCCAGUAUUCUGGCGGGCAUGCCUGUCCGAGCGUCAUUUCAACCCUCGAACCCCUCCGGGGGGUCGGCGUUGGGGACCUCGGGAGCCCCUAAGACGGGAUCCCGGCCCCGAAAUACAGUGGCGGUCUCGCCGCAGCCUCUCCUGCGCAGUAGUUUGCACAACUCGCACCGGGAGCGCGGCGCGUCCACGUCCGUAAAACACCCAACUUCUGAAAUGUGACCUCGAUCAGGUAAGAAACCCAGUC
rnacentral:rRNA from 1 species